GUGGGGAAUAUUGGACAAUGGGCGAAAGCCUGAUCCAGCCAUGCCGCGUGUGUGAAGAAGGUCUUCGGAUUGUAAAGCACUUUAAGUUGGGAGGAAGGGUAGUAACCUAAUACGUUGCUACUUUGACGUUACCGACAGAAUAAGCACCGGCUAACUUCGUGCCAGCAGCCGCGGUAAUACGAAGGGUGCAAGCGUUAAUCGGAAUUACUGGGCGUAAAGCGCGCGUAGGUGGUUCAGUAAGUUGGAAGUGAAAUCCCCGGGCUCAACCUGGGAACUGCCUCCAAAACUGCAUGACUAGAGUACGGUAGAGGGUAGUGGAAUUUCCUGUGUAGCGGUGAAAUGCGUAGAUAUAGGAAGGAACACCAGUGGCGAAGGCGACUACCUGGACUGAUACUGACACUGAGGUGCGAAAGCGUGGGGAGCAAACAGGAUUAGAAACCCUAGUAGUCC
rnacentral:rRNA from 1 species